GUACGUUGUGUUUUGAUUUCCCGCUCAUGACCUGGAGUAAUUUGGUCUUGUUUACAACUGUUUAUACAGAGAAAGAAAUGCUGACAUACCAAGUGAUAAGAAUAACUGGGCUGACCUUAUUGCUUGAUAUGUGAAAGUGCAUCUUCUGCUGGGGGAGAAAAGAAUCCACUGACCUUGUCCUGUUCUCAGGCAAAGCAAAUGAGGAUGUCUGGAGGCAUAAAACUUUCUGCUUAUUUUCCAGUUGAUCCAGUUUCAUUUACUGAAUGAGAUACAUAAGGAUAAUCUCACAAAAGCACUAGAAACAGAUGAGAGCACAUACAAGGAAAUGUUGUGGUUCUGGUGAAGGUAAUGAGAGUUUUGAGCUUCGCUAGGACCAUUCUUACUGUAAUCAGGUUGUCCUGGUACCCAUCGUUGCCUAGUUGUACCCAUGGUUUUGAAAGCCGUCCUGUUCUUGAUCUGACUACACUGGGUCCAGCAACCUUCCUGCCCACUGUGUGGCUGCUAACAUGGACCUGUGUGUAUUUACAUAGGGAGCACAAGUUAAAAUCCGUACCAUUGGUGCACUGGGAAGCACAGGACACCCCAUCUCAUCAUUCUUGUAACUGGCUUGAAAAUAGUGAUGCUGUUGGUGCAAUUGUGCUGGUGGGUUGGACAUGUGCCUUUGAUUUGGGAUUAAAAGGGCAGCAUUCAAGUUCCAGGUCUAUCUUAGUUCCAUUUUAUUGGAAGUUUUAUCUGCUAGUGCUGCAGUUAAUCAUUGUGCAUGCAUUCCAGGAGCAUUGUGUGCUUUUGGACAGGCUGCCCUAGCAGGGUGUGUGACCCAUCCCAGAAGUUCUGUCUUCCAAGGAGGUGCUUUUCUUCACAGUUUGGGGGUGGUGUGUGAGGGCAAGCCACAGAAACAGACUGUGUUCCUGCUACUCUAUAAUCCAUUGCUAUUCCCUCUUGGGCCUUACUUAUUUAUAACCAAGAGUCAAUUUGUUUCAUAUUUCAUUCAUUUUAUUCAUUGUUCCCAAUCUGUGAACACAUCGUGCUACACAGAAAACUGUUUUUCCAGAAGCUUGCAAUCCCCUGCCUAUGAUCUCUAGAUGUCUCUCUUGCCCUAAUAUAAGAAAAUAAGAAAAAGGUAGGAGUAGCAAAAUACUUGGUAUGUGAUCUUGGAUAGAAAUGUGUGUGUGCAACACCCUGCCGUCUUCAUCUUCCCAGCUAGAUUAGAGCGGGAUUUGCCCCUUCUAUUGUGGGGAAGAAAUGUGGCAUAACCGUUCUUGUUGUCUUCCACUGAUGCAAGUAAAUUGUGCUUUCAGGCUGUAAGCAGGAAGGAACAAGGAUUAUAUCUGGGAGCAGGAGAAAAGCAAGUGACAAGUGAGGUCAAAAGAAAAGCUGCUGCUGAAACCCACCUCUGGGAGACCCAGUCCUACAUUGCACAGCAUGGAGCUGAGAACCACAAGCCCAUUGCUUGCCAGGAGUCAGCCCUGUUCCCAUGCUCAUGUGGGAGAACCCAUCUUGCAAACUGGUGAAGUACGAGCCCAGUGCUGCUAGGUGAUGGUUCCAGAAAUAGAAAGGUACAGUGAUAGCAGAUAACGCUCCCUGAUAGCUGAAAUUAAAAGAAUUAAAUUGUACAAAAGUGUGCUUUAAUUGCUAACUCUCUCCUGUCUGCUUAAAUCACUAGAAAUAAAGGUCUCCUCUUUAGUGAUGAGCAAUUCCAGGCAGAACAGACAUGAUGGGGGAAACAUGUUUGGAAUAAAUACUGAUGUGAAUGACA